rnacentral:rRNA from 1 species
CCCUACGGGGCGCAGCAGUAGGGAAUAUUGCUCAAUGGGGGAAACCCUGAAGCAGCAACGCCACGUGGAGGAUGAAGGUUUUCGGAUUGUAAACUCCUUUUGUUAGAGAAGAUAAUGACGGUAUCUAACGAAUAAGCACCGGCUAACUCCGUGCCAGCAGCCGCGGUAAUACAUAGGGGGCAAGCGUUAUCCGGAAUUAUUGGGUGUAAAGGGUGCGUAGACGGAAGAACAAGUUGGUUGUGAAAUCCCUCGGCUCAACUGAGGAACUGCAACCAAAACUAUUCUCCUUGAGUGUCGGAGAGGAG